GGUGAGUGAAGAGCGAAAAGAUUUGCAGGAAUCAGUUAUUGCAGUAAUCGAAAGAGACCGAAAGAGGCAGGAUUGAUUGAAGAAACAAUGGCAGAGAUGGUGCGAUUAAGAGAGCCAGAGAGGUGGCACAAAAUGGGAUGGUUUUAGGGUUAGAUUUAGUUAUGCAAUAGAAAACAUAACAUUUUAUAUUAAAAGCUAAAACACUGUGUUUAUCCUUUUAAUAAAAAUGUUUUUAAUAUUAUAUUGAUAAUUUGGUUCAGG
rnacentral:misc_RNA from 1 species